rnacentral:rRNA from 1 species
UACGUAGGGGGGCAAGCGUUGUCCGGAUUUAUUGGGCGUAAAGAGCGUGUAGGCGGUCUGGUAGGUCCGUUGUGAAAACUCGAGGCUCAACCUCGAGACGCCGAUGGAAACCAUCAGACUAGAGUCCGGAAGAGGAGAGUGGAAUUCCUGGUGUAGCGGUGAAAUGCGCAGAUAUCAGGAAGAACACCCGUGGCUAAGGCGGCUCUCUAGUACGGUACUGACGCUGAGACGCGAAAAGCGUGGGGGAGCGAACAGG